UUAAAGUUUGUGCAUAAGUGAGACCUCCCUGACUUGCUAGGGAGAUUGAUAUCUCGUGGCGCAGUCCGUUUCUGAAUUUCUCCGCGUGUUUCUCAUCAGUGUCCACUAAGAGUGGAGCAUAUCUUGACAGCUGGUUAAAAGCCCUAUCAUACUCAGUCACUGUUCCAGCCCUUUGCUUCAAAUUCCAGAACUCGUUCUGUUUCUUCUGUCUAUAGCAGCCUGGUAUGUACUUCUCAUACAAUUCAGUCUUAAAA
rnacentral:lncRNA from 1 species